UUCAGAGGGGGAAAAUAAAACUAGAUACAAAGAAUGCACAAACGACAAAAGCAUUUUAUUACUUAAAGACAAAACAAGACCUGUUAGGUUAGUACAUGGGUAAGAUGGCAUGAAAUGUUUUACGGUGUGACCUGCUAUAGGACUAUACUCCCCCCUAAAAGUAUUUUACACAGCAUUUUGCUAAAUCGUUCAUAAUUUUUUACACAUAUAACUUUUAGACUAAACUGAAUGUUUUAACUUUUAUAAAUGAACUUGUCACACUGCAGGACCACUGAAAAUGAACUUAAGAAAAAUAACAUUAUAAAUGUAUUGGAACCCUUUAAUUUGUAAUACUUAUUUAAAAAAAAAAAUAAUAAUAUCAAAAUUAAGAUCACAUCUUUCAACCCCAGGUAUAAACAUAAAACAUUGAAGGUUGAUAGCUUUUCAUCACUGUGUCUCAAAAUUUUCUUAAAAUGUAUUAGUCACACUAAAUGCUGUGCACACAUUGUUCUCUUGAUAUAAGAUAUAAUGUAAAUCAUAAGUUGAUGUAAUAUGGAAGAACACAACCAGACAUAAACCUCAGGAAGGUAAUAAAUAUACAUGUAUUUCUUAUAGAGCUUGUAUAAAUCAAAACUAUGAUAAUGUGCACUGGUAGCAAGGCAGUUAUACAUUGGUACAUAACAUGUAUCAACAUCAUCAGACAGUCAAUAACAAUGACAGCUUACACUGUUUGGAGUCAGAAUCACUUUGUUCAGUUGAAAUGCAGUCAAGAUUAGAGGUCGACCGAUUAAUCGGCCGAUUUUUAGCAUUUUUUACAUAAUCGGCAUCGGCCAAUUUCCAAGUAUAUCAAGCCGAUUAUUAGGCAGGUGCAUCUGUGGGCAGCCUACACUCUUAGAAAAAAGGGUUCAUUGGGGUUCUAUAUAGAACCAUAGGGUUCUUUACUCAACUCCAAAGAACCUUUUAUGCUAAAAAGGUUCUAUAAUGACAAGAAAGAACCCUUUUGGCACAAAGCUUCUUUAGGCUAUUAUUCAUUCAUAUUACAUUAUUCUGCAACAUUUUGAGUUGUAAUUAAAUUAUUGUUUAUUAAACUGUUGUAGUAACUUAAUAUCACAUUUUAAUCAUGCUGAUUGAGGAGAAAAACUGAAAUGGCACUCUUCGUGUGAUAUUGAUUAACUACAUAAAAUGAUAUAAAUAUAUAUACACUGUCUAACCCCCAUAUCUUGAAUUAUGUGAUCAUUCAGCAUUUAUAAAUGCAUUUGAAUACACUGAAUAAUGCAGUGAAAGAACGCACUCAAAAUGCACACCCGCACUAGUGUAACUAGACUUCAUCAUGUAACUUUACAUUAUAGAUGCGUGCACUCUGUAGGCACGAUUUGUUUAGUUUUUGAAUUAUACUUGAUAACGUUAAAGCGCACAUCGUUAAAACAAAAAAUACGAUAUUAUCGCAGACGAUAGAUAUAUCGCACACCCCUAUAUUGACCUAUCGUCAUCAUCAUCAUAAUCAUUAUUAUCAUCAUAACAAGAAAUUACUCAGUACAAAAACAAGCAUAAGGGCUCAUUCUAAGCCAUUUAUAGCUGAAUAGGCUCUCGUCUUGUCUUACUUAGCCUUGUUUGCUGCUCUUACAUUUCAUUCUUUGUCAUGUAUGUGAAAUUAUUGUAGGCUACCGCAACUAAACAAUUUUGCAUUAUGGAUUUAAUUUUUUUAUCUGAUGAACAGUAAACAUAAACAAAAAGAAGUAAUAAACUCAUUAUUUUCAUUAAUUUUACAAAGUAAACUAUUUGUUUGCAUUUGCGCGAGCAUAUUCACGCAGCGCUGUCUCGCGAGUGCAUGCACGCGCGUUUUUGAAUUCCAACGGUCGAGAAGAGACUGAUCCCCGUCUCUGGUGUCUGCUGAUUUAAAUUGAUGGGCUGACGGAAAUAUUGUUGUGGUAAGUCAGAGAAAUACAUCGAUUUUUUUUAGUAAUCUACUGGUUAUAAGCUUUAAACCCAUUACUAAUGAAGUUGUCAAUGUUUCAACAGCGGAUUUAACGUUACACUUUAAACACGAAAGAGCCUGAACCGCAACAAUGUCACAAGUUGCCUUACAUCGAUUAUAUUAAACCUGGAAAAUAUUGGAGAAGAUCAAUUGAGUUUUCAGGAGCACAUUACUGUGAUAAAUGCUGAACUACGUAAAAGACAACCCGACUACACCAACAUAAAAAAUCGAAUGAGAUGCACUCUUUUUAAAAGAGUCGAUUUAAUGACAAAAUCAACACGAGAGGUCAUGGACAUGUUCCCAUUUCUUCGGGUUCCACAACUUCUGCUGCAUGAAGUGAAGAUGCGGUUUGGGAAGGACCUUCAUCUUAAUCUAGAGACUGCUCUUCAAAUUCUGGCCCCAAACAUCUUAAAUGUGGCUAGACAUGGAAGUCAGAGGGAUGUGCUGAACAGUUUACUUCAGCAAAUUGACUCAAAUACAAAAAGUAUGUUCUUUUUUUCCUUAACACUACCAUUAGUUGCUUGGUUUGUUGAACGGUUACUGUAAUAAAUCUAUUUAUACCAUGGUUUGUCUGAAUAUUUAAUUCUGAUUGGCUAAAAGGUGUGCAUUAAAAUAAUUUGAUUCACAGGUAGUUCCAGUCAGUUUAAUUACAAUUAAAGUUUAAUGUGCUGCUUUUCAAUGACCACACAAAACACUUGCACACAGAGAUCGGAGAUUAAAGUAAUGUGAACUGAGACAUUUUGCAUUUCAAUUGUUUUUUUUUUUACAACCUCAGUUGCAUUGCUUCACUACCAUUCAUAAAUCCUCUCCUGUGGUCUCAUGGAGUAGUAAAGUAUCCAUUGUAAGCAUACUUCAGAAUGUUUGUGUAGUGUCUCUUCAAUAAUCAAGCCGCAAGUUUAGUUAAAUCAAAAACAGAUACAUUGUUGCGUUUUAGUUUUUCAGUAUGCUAUCCAAGCUAUUUUAUUAAUGAAUAUUGCAUUGAUCUUGAAAAGAAGUUUCCGUGGUCAUGAUUGUUUGUGACAGUUUGUGAUUGUGUGUGCAACCUAGCCAGUGAAUUGGCCCUUACCACUGUGGUACACAAUGGUCAGUAUGCAAAGGCAGUUAAACAUGACUAAGGCUAUCAUUCUGUUUUUCACCAAAGAAAAGUCAUGCAAAUUUUGGGCAAAAUGGGGUUGACUAAAUUAUAAUUUUUGAUGGAAUUUUAACUUUUGGGACUCCUGCAUUCUAAGUUAUUUCACAAAUAAUUUGUUUUUCCAACUUGCAGGAAUCAUUAAAGCCAACUCCGACUAUAGUUUUUCAUGAAGCUUCAAACCCCCUCCAUGCAAAAAGAGCCAGCAUCAAUAUGGAGUGUGUCAACAUUGUGAGCGCAGAAAUGGAUGUGGUGGCAAUGGAGUGCCUCUUUGCUGCUUAUUUCGUAUUCAGUGUGGAAUACCCCAAGCACAUCACUCACAUGAUGAAUUUUGUUGAGCACUACCUGUUUAAACUCUCCAGCAGCCAAAAAAACUGUCUGUCCCAGUGCUCAAAAUGUAUAAUCAAUUAUCAUAAUACUUUGAUAUGUCAUGAAUAGUGCUAAUGUAAAUAUGUGGUGAUUGAUGUUAUUCUGAAAUGCUGAUCUGAAUUUUAAUCUAUGUAUUCACAUUCUUUAUGAGUGAUAUUAAUAUGAAUUUGUAUAUUUGAAGUACUUCUAUACCUGUAUAUUUCCAUUGUGAGUUAUAUUAAUAUGUAUUUGUAGUUUUGAGGGACUUGAUGUUGUUCUAACACUAAUGGGAAUUUAGAUUAAUCUGUAUAUUUGCAUUAUUUAUUAGUGAUAGGUUAAUGUAAUUUUGUACAUUUUAUGGACUUAUUUUGUAAUAUGUAGAUGUAGGUGAAACUAUUUUCAUUAUGAGAUAUUUUUUAAAUGGUUGAUGUUUUAAUGUUGAUUUGUUGAUCUGAUAUAAAUAAAUGACUAGUUCUAUGCACUUUGGGUG